AAGAGGAAGUUUUCGGAUGGAAUCUUAUUGAUUUAGCGGCGGACGGGUGAGUAACGCGUGNNGUCAACCUUUGCACAGGGGGAUAACGGACCGAAAGUCACUAAUACCGCAUGAGACCACGGUGUUGCAUGACACAGAGGUCAAAGGAGCAAUCGGUGCAAGACGGGCUCGCGUCCGAUUAGGUAGUUGGUGGGGUAACGGCCCACCAAGCCUAUGAUCGGUAGCCGACCUGAGAGGGUGAUCGGCCACAUUGGAACUGAGAUACGGUCCAAAACUCCUACGGGAGGCAGCAGUGGGGAUAUUGGGCAAUGGGGGAAACCCUGACCCAGCAACGCCGCGUGAAGGAAGAAGGUUUUCGGAUUGUAAACUUCUGUCCUUGGUAGAAGAGAAGAAGACGGUAGC
rnacentral:rRNA from 1 species